GACAGAGGGUGCAAACGUUGUUCGGAAUUACUGGGCGUAAAGCGCGUGUAGGCUGUUCUGCAAGUCGGAUGUGAAAGCCCCGGGCUCAACCUGGGAAGUGCAUUCGAAACUGCAGAACUUGAGUCCUGGAGAGGAAGGCGGAAUUCUCGGUGUAGAGGUGAAAUUCGUAGAUAUCGAGAGGAACACCGGUGGCGAAGGCGGCCUUCUGGACAGUGACUGACGCUGAGACGCGAAAGCGUGGGGAGCAAACAGG
rnacentral:rRNA from 1 species